UUUACCACGGUGUGGUUCAUGACUGGGGUGAAGUCGUAACAAGGUAGCCGUAGGGGAACCUGCGGCUGGAUCACCUCCUUACAUA
rnacentral:rRNA from 1 species